CCUACGGGUGGCAGCAGUGGGGAAUAUUGCACAAUGGGCGCAAGCCUGAUGCAGCCAUGCCGCGUGUGUGAAGAAGGCCUUCGGGUUGUAAAGCACUUUCAGCGGGGAGGAAGGCGGUGAGGUUAAUAACCUCAUCGAUUGACGUUACCCGCAGAAGAAGCACCAGCUAACUCCGUGCCAGCAGCCGCGGUAAUACGGAGGGUGCAAGCGUUAAUCGGAAUUACUGGGCGUAAAGUGCACGCAGGCGGUCUGUCAAGUCGGAUGUGAAAUCCCCGGGCUCAACCUGGGAACUGCAUUCGAAACUGGCAGGCUAGAGUCUUGUAGAGGGGGGUAGAAUUCCAGGUGUAGCGGUGAAAUGCGUAGAGAUCUGGAGGAAUACCGGUGGCGAAGGCGGCCCCCUGGACAAAGACUGACUCUCAGGUGCGAAAGCGUGGGGAGCAAACAGGAUUAGAUACCCUUGUAGUC
rnacentral:rRNA from 1 species